rnacentral:rRNA from 1 species
AGAGUUUGAUCCUGGCUCAGGAUGAACGCUGGCGGCGUGCCUAACACAUGCCUUCAUUGAUUACUUCGGUAUGAUCUGUUGGUGGAAAGUGGCGAACGGGUGAGUAACACGUAGGUGACCUGCCUCGAAGUGGGGGAUAACCAUUGGAAACGAUGGCUAAUACCGCAUGGCUUUGUUAGAGUGGGAACUUUGACAAAUAAAGCUCUGGCGCUUUGAGAGGGGCCUGCGUCCGAUUAGCUAGUUGGUGGGGUAAUAGCCCACCAAGGCGACGAUCGGUAGCUGGUCUGAGAGGACGAUCAGUCACACGGGAACUGAGACACGGUCCCGACUCCUACGGGGGGCAGCAGUGAGGAAUAUUCGGCAAUGGGGGCAACCCUGACCGAGCAACGCCGCGUGGAGGAUGAAGGCCCUUGGGUCGUAAACUCCUUUUCUGUGGGAAGAGAAAAAGGACGGUACCACAGGAAUAAGUCACGGCUAACUACGUGCCAGCAGCCGCGGUAAUACGUAGGUGGCAAGCGUUAUCCGGAAUUACUGGGCGUAAAGCGUACGCAGGCGGUUGAUUAAGUCUGACGUGAAAGCUCCUGGCUUAACUGGGAGAGGUCGUUGGAAACUAAUUAGCUUGAGGUGAUGAGAGGGGUGCGGAAUUCCCGGUGUAGUGGUGGAGUGCGUAGAUAUCGGGAGGAACACCAGUGGCGAAAGCGGCACCCUGGCAUUUACCUGACGCUCAUGUACGAAAGCGUGGGGAGCGAACGGGAUUAGAUACCCCGGUAGUCCACGCCGUAAACGAUGAACACUAGGUGUAGGUGGCAUCAAACCCAUCUGUGCCGAAGCAAACGCGAUAAGUGUUCCGCCUGGGGAGUACGGCCGCAAGGCUAAAACUCAAGGGAAUUGACGGGGGCCCGCACAAGCAGCGGAGCGUGUGGUUUAAUUCGAUUCAACGCGAAGAACCUUACCUGGGUUUGGCAUGUACGUAGUAGUGAACCGAAAGGGGAACGAGCCUUCGGGCAGCGUACACAGGUGCUGCACGGCUGUCGUCAGCUCGUGUCGUGAGAUGUUGGGUUAAGUCCCGCAACGAGCGCAACCCUCGUCGUUAGUUACAAGUGUCUAGCGAGACUGCCGGUAUCAAGCCGGAGGAAGGUGGGGAUGAUGUCAAGUCAGCAUGGCCUUUAUAUCCAGGGCUACACACACGCUACAAUGGCUGGUACAAUGGGCAGCGAAACCGCGAGGUGGAGCGAAUCCUAUCAAAGCUAGUCGUAGUUCGGAUUGCAGGCUGCAACCCGCCUGCAUGAAGCCGGAGUUGCUAGUAACCGCAGUCAGCCAUACUGCGGUGAAUACGUUCCCGGGCCUUGUACACACCGCCCGUCACGUCAUGGAAGUUGGUAACACCUGAAGUCGGUGACCUAACCGCAAGGAAGGAGCUGCCUAGGGUGGGGCUGAUAACUGGGACGAAG